AAAUAGUGCAAGCAGCACAACUGACAAAUUAGUGGAUCUCAAUAUGGACCUGCAGCCGCACGUUGAGCAUCAUGGAGGCGACGAUGUAGAGGUACGGGAAGUUGAUGCGGAGCUUCCAGGCCAGGUCGAAGAAAAUGAGGAGGGUUCUGGUCAGCCCCUUGCAGAACACGCCAUACGACCUGGCCGCGGCCGACUGGGAGAGCCUGGCAGCCAGGGCGGACAGAGACACCGCCAUAUACCCCCGCCGCGGCCCCGCCGCAACGCCCGGGCCCUCCUCCGCCGCCCCCUCCCCGCGCUCGGCGCUGGGUGUCGCCAGCGGGGAGGAACCCGCGGCCGCCGGCGCCCUGAGUGUGACGUUACCGCGGCACGCGACGCGACGCCCCCGCCUCUCCCCAGCGCGCAUGUCUGAGGGAAGGGCGGGGCCUCGGGGGAGGCGCGCGCUGACCGUUGGAGCCCGCGGUGUCACCUCAGCGCGGCCGCUGUGCCUGCAGGGUAACGUGCCCCAAAAAUAGACAACGAGUGCCGUGUUUGAAGAUGUUGAAUCUUAAGAAAAAAAGGCCCUUUUCUCUCAGCGCUGGUUUCCACUCAACUAGCUUUGGGUGACUGUAACAUGAAACAGAAAAACUAACCUGUGGAUGUAAAUUCAUGGUAAAAUGCUGUUUAAUUGUCACAGAAUCACUCUGGCACACAGAAAUCCCCAUACAAAGUUGGAUGUGCUCCAGAAAGUGCUGACAGUAGGUUCCUUUUUUCACUAAAAUAGGCCAUACGGUUAGUAAAUUAGCCCAUAAUAGCAAGCUAGCAGCUGUGUUGAUUUGGAUCUAAUUCUUUAAUUAAACUCUAUGUCUGAUGAAAUAAUCUUUAGCUUUCUGAGAAAGAAAUGCACGUUGCAAAGAUAGUGCAAUUGAAGGCCAAGUAAGUGCUCUGAGUUUGUCACAUCGGGGCUUGGAAAUCAGCUGCUGCUUCAGGCAGUGGAACAUCCCCAGAGACACCCCACAUGUUCUGCUCUGAUAUCAGCUCUGUCAUGGUGGUAAAAAUCCUUCCUUUUCAGUUCAGACAGGACACUGAUUGAUGAGCAGAAGUUCAAAACUAUUGAUGUGCGCUUUGUAGCUGAGAGCUGCAGAAGACGUUUCCCAUCAAUUCAAUGCCAUCUUUCCAUUUUGGUCCCUAACCCUGACUCGCCUUUCUCGUGCAUCAGACAAAUGCACCCUUGUUGUUUAAGUCCUUUCAUGUUUUAUUUCAUUCUGCCUAAAUUUUCUCCUUAGGAAUUCAAAUAUUAAUUCCUCUGUUUGAAGAAAGAAUAUUGCUAAUCAACGUUACUGACUUGUCAUUGUUUCAAAAGAUACUCUGAAGCUUUCUCAGCUUACAACUGUUGUGAUGAGGAAUAGUUUCUCACAGGCUUUGUGCAAGGGUUUCUCUGUCC
rnacentral:lncRNA from 1 species